rnacentral:lncRNA from 1 species
AAAACUAAAACCUAACAUUUUAAUUCCUAAAAGAGACAGAUCUCCCUCACCCUCAGCCGCCUCACAUUCGGUGCUCCUCUUCGGCUCCGACGAAGACCGACAGAAGAGGUUCCGACGACGCGCCUUGGUGAGGCUUCUUUUAUCCCUUUCUUUUUUAAAAAAAAAAGGUAACAAAACCAAUUUAGGUACUUAAAAAAAACCGAAAUGGGAAAGAAAAAGAAAUGGCCUUUCGGCCUUUGUCCCCGGUUGCAACACGAACGAACCCUCGAAGGGCUUUCGUGACCUUGACGAACGGAGGGGACCUCCGUCGACGGCGCACGACCCAACCCCCAGGUACGUUUUAACCCCUUUUCCUCUUUAUACUUAUAAUAAUAUUCGAAAAAGAAAAAAUAAAAAAUAAAAACAGGAGUAGAAACUUGAAGAUAAAAUAGAUUAUCAACCUUUUUUGAUUGACUUUUGCUCUCCUUUUCUAUUCGAUUGAUCUUCUUUUUGUUUUUUUUUUAGAAACUUGAAGAUAAAAGAGAUUAUCAACCUUUUUUGAUUGACUUUUGCUCUCCUUUUCUAUUCGAUUAAUUUUUUUUUUACAAGGUUAUUUUAGUGGCUUUUAUAGCCACGAUUACACUGUUGGUCCAUGUUACUGUUCGCUAUUUUCUUUUCUAUGUUUUGCUUUUGUUUCUGUCUUCUCGUUGCCGUUUCUGUGCUGCUUCUUUUGGUCUUUUUUGCAGGUGUCGGGGGUCAACGGAGAGGAUUGCUAUUUUGGUGUCAAUGGAGGCUGGGCAGGCCUCGGGACGAGGCGUGGACGUUGCGCCCGAGGAGGAGCGACGCAAAGGAGAGGGAACCCUAGGGUUCCCUGUGCUUGCCUAGUCUUUGGGCCCCCUUGGGCCGUUUAGAAUCCGGGCCGUUUUGGGCCUGUUGUACAUGGGUCAUUUAAUUUUAUUAUUUUGGUUUUGUUUCAGGCCUGGGCUAAAUUGGGCCUCUACAGCUGCCCCUCUUUGCUCAUUCUUGUGUAACGAGAAUGGAGCAAAGAUUUUAAAAGGACCAAUUUUGCCCGGUCAUACCAAGUCUUGACUUCUUCUGGUGCUUCUCUUCUUUGAAUAACUUCACUCCUGCCCACUGUGUCUUAUUGCUUUGAUCUUUUCCGCAAAAAACUUCAGAGGGACGAAGUUUGUGGUUUUAAUCCACUCCACCGCGACUUUAGGGAGAUAGGAUUGAUUCUGUCUUCUCCACUACUGCUUAGGGAGAUAGGACUGGUGGCUUAAAUAUGCUUCACUACUGCUUAGGAAGAUGAGAUUCGCCAUAUUCGAUCUGCUCCACUACUGCUUAGGGAAAUAAGAUAUUCUAUCUUCGACCCGCUCCACUACUGCUUAGGGAGAUAGGAUCUACCAUCUUUGACCUGCUCCACUACUGCUUAGGAGGAUAGGACUGGUGGCUUAAAUCUGCUUCACUACUGCUUAGGAAGAUAAGAUUCACCGUCUUCGAUCUGCUCCACUACUGCUUAGGGAGAUAAGAUCUUCUAUCUUCGACCUGUUCCGCUACUGCUUAGGAGGAUAGGACUGGUGGCUUAAAUCCGCUUCACUACUGCUUAGGAAGAUAAGAUUCACCGUCUUCGAUUUGCUCCACUACUGCUUAGGGAGAUAAGAUCUUCUAUCUUCGACCCGCUCCACUACUGCUUAAGGAGAUAGGAUUUACCAUCUUCGACCUGCUCCACUACUGCUUAGGGAGAUAGGACUGGAUAAGAUGACUUCAGUCCACCCCACUGCAACUUCAGGGGUAUAGAUAACUUCAUUGAUCUGUUCUCUGGGGAACAUAACCUGUAAAGUCCAUUUUAUGAACCUAUCUAUGUCUAGUGAUUAGGAUGUUAUGACCGGAAUGAAUCAAAAUCUCCUAACUAAAUGUGCAUGCAUGAAUGCAAAAUGUCAUGAACAUGAUCUCUUAAUGUUUGAGUUGUGAUUGCUCUUUAUUCAUUAAGGCUCUAUUACCAACACUUCAGAACACCAUAUUGUUCGACUUGUAACACUCAUCUUUUCCUUAAUCAGAUUGCUCCCACUGUAAUCUUCAAAGUUUAAUCCACUGUAAUAAAAUUUGAACUAUUCUCCUCCUACUGUAAUUCAAUGGUAAAAAGAUCUGAUUUUUCUCAAUCCUCUGCUAUCACAGAUCAAGGAUAUAGGAUCUGAAUCCCUUUGGUCUUACACCAUUCUCAAGGUGUCAUACCAAUGUUUGUACACAAUUGUAGAACUUCCUAUUCCAAGCAAUCUCUUCUUAUCAUUCGGUGAUCAUUGCUUGUUUGUUCAAUCCAUGCUUAGACCACAAAAUUCGAAAGGAUAAUCUUAAUUUAGAAUUUUCCUUCUUAGAUAUUCAACAUUUAAACUUGGUGUGCUCUAAACAAUAGUCCUGUUUCAGGUUCCUGUAUUAUUUAGAAACUUUUAGAGUGAUGUGCAAAACUCCCUUUGCAUGAAUAUUAUCAGUCCAUUAAUCGUUAUUUCAAUGAAAAAUGCUUGGAAAAAAUUAUCAAAAUGGACAAGAUGGAAUUUAAUUGAGAAUAAGGUUCAAAAUGAAUAAAUUAAUCAAGAUAGCAAAUUUUGCUAAGAUUCAGAAUGAAAAGGAUUAUCAUAAUGGAUAAGAUUUUAUUGAGAACAAAACUCAAAAUUAAAAUAGCAAAUUGUGCUAAGAUACUAAAUGAACGAGAUGAAAACAGGUGCCCCAGAUACCGUAGCAUGAGUUUCUCUGCACCAAACUUUUGGGGAACCCUUUUAAUUUGAUACGUGUUUGGAAAAUUCAGGAUGCUUUGUUGAUGCUCCAAGAUGUAGCAUCCCUCCUUCUUGCUAAUUCAGGCACAUGCCCCACAUUUGAUCAAAAUUUGAACCGCCCUUUUACCGGGUUUUCAAUUCAAAGCCCUUUUGGUCACAAAGCGCCCUUUUGGGUUUUCACUUUGGCCUCUCCUUCCUUCUUUUUAUUAUUAUUAUUUUAUUUAUUAUUAUUUUUAAGCGAAGUACUUCUUUACUGAAUCUGAAUUCACUGGAUUAGGCAAAGUCUUUCCAUCCAUUUCAGUUAGUAUCAGUGCUCCUCCAGAGAAGGACUUCUUCACCACAUAUGGUCCUUCCCAAUUUGGCAUCCACUUUCCUCUAAAGUCUUUUUGUAUGGGAAGGAUCUUCUUCAGUACCAAAUCCCCUUCAUGGAAUUCCCUAGGACGAACUUUCUUAUUAUAAGUUCGCAUAAUUCGUUUUUGGUAUAUUUGACUAUGGUGGAUAGCUCUUAGCCUUUUUCCUUCAACAAGAUUCAGCUGGUCGUAUCGAGAUUGGAUCCAUUCUGCUUCGUCCAACUUUAGCUCUGACAAGACCCGAAGGGAAGGAAUCUCCACUUCGAUGGGUAAAACUGCCUCCAUCCCGUAGACCAAUGAGAAAGGCGUUGCCCCGGUGGAGGUUCUGACAAACGUUCUAUAAGCAAAAAGAGCAAAUGGGAGCUUCUCAUGCCAAUCCCUAUAAGUCUCAGUCAUCUUCCCCACAAUCUUCUUGAUGUUCUUAUUAGCUGCUUCCACUACGCCAUUCAUUUUUGGGCAGUAUGGCGAUGAGUUGUGGUGCUUAAUAUUGAACUGGCUACAGAUCUCCGCUAUCGUACUGUUGUUCAGAUUUAGCGCGUUGUCAGAUAUUAUCCUUUCUGGCAUUCCAUAUCGACAUAUGAUCUCUUUCUUUAAGAACCUACUGACUGCUGCCUUUGUGACAUUAGCAUAUGAGGCAGCUUCUACCCAUUUAGUAAAGUAAUCAAUUACUACAAAGAUGAACCGAUGCCCAUUUGAAGCUUUUGGCGAUAUUGGCCCAAUGACGUCCAUCCCCCACAUAGAAAAGGGCCAUGGGGAAGUCAUGACAUGGAGAUGUGAGGGAGGUACAUGAAUUUUGUCUCCGUAAAUUUGGCACUUGUGGCAUUUCUUGGCAUAUUUGAUGCAGUCUCCUUCCAUGGUAGACCAAUAAUAUCCAAAUCUCAUUAUUUGCCUUGCCAUUGUGAAACCAUUGGCGUGUGUUCCACAGACACCAUUAUGGACCUCUUCCAAAAUUUGUUUGGCCUCAACAGAGUCCACGCAUCUCAGUAGCACCUGAUCUUUGCCCCUUUUAUACAAGAUCUCUCCAUCCAAGACGUAGUCGCUAGCCAGCCUUCUCAACGUUCUCUUCUCAUUCUCUGCUGCUUGAUCUGGGUAUUCUCGGUUCUUCACGUAUCGCAGCAUAUCUUGAUACCAGGGAUGAUUGUCCUUUUCUUCUUCUACAUCAAUAUUGCCACAGUGGGCAAGAGCCUCAUAAAUGCUUAUUUGGAUUGGCUUCAUAUCUUUCUGUUUAUUCACUUUGAUCAUAGCAGCCAAUGUAGCCAAAGCGUCGGCCAUCUGAUUUUCCUCUCGUGGAAGGUAGCGGAAGGUGAUAUCAUCAAACUCCUUAAUUAGUUCCAUAACUAAUUUUCGGUAAUUGACCAAUUUGGGAUCUCUUGUCUGCCAUUCCCCUUUGAGCUGAUAGAUUACCAGUACAGAGUCUCCAUACACCUCUAACACUUAAAUCUUACGCUCUAUGGCUGCCCGAAUCCCCAUGAUACAUGCUUCGUAUUCGGCCAUAUUGUUUGUACAAUCAAAAUCUAAUUUGCAAGUCACUGGAUAAUGAUCUCCGCUUGGGGAUACCAAGAUUGCUCCGAUUUCAUUGCCUACAGCAUUUGAAGCCGAGUCGAAGUUUAAUUUCCAAGCAUUGCCCUCUCAAGUAUCCUCUUCAGUGGUUUCCACGUACACUAUAUCUUCAUUUGGGAAAUCGAAGUUCAAAGGCUCAUAAUCCUCUAGAGCUUUACUAGCUAGAAAAUCUGCUAUUGCACUUCCCUUUAUAGCCUCUUGACUCACGUAGAGUAUGUCGAAUUCGGAAAGCAAGAUCUGCCAUUGGGCCAUCCUUCCAUUCAAAGCAGUCGACUCCAUCAUGUAUUUCAGUGGGUCUAGUUUUGAGAUUAGCCAAGUGGUAUGAUAUAACAUGUACUGCCUUAAUCUCCGAGUUGUCCAAAUCAGGGCGCAACAUAGCUUCUCGAUUGGCAAAUAUCUUGUCUCGCAUUCAUUGAAAUUUUUGCUGAGAUAGUAUAUCGCUCUUUCUUUUCUUCCUGACUCAUCAUGCUGGCCCAACACGCAUCUCAUAAAAUUUUCAAAUACCGCUAAAUACAAUAUCAAUGGCCUGCCUGGGUAUGGUGGCAUUAGUACUGGGGCGUUAGAUAAGUAAUACUUAAUCUUGUCAAAAGCUUUUUGGCAUUCCUCAUCCCAUACACCUGGAUUGUGUUUCUUAAGGAGACGAAAAAUAGGAUCGCAUUUCUCAGUUAACUGUGAAAUGAACCUGGCGAUGUAGUUCAGUCUUCCCAAGAAACCUCGAACUUCUUUUUGAGUGUGCGGCGGAGGCAAAUCUUGUAUGACCUUGACUUUGUCUAGGUCAAUCUCGAUCCCUCUUUCACUAACCACGAACCCUAGAAGCUUUCCAGAUCUAGCCCCGAAAGUGCAUUUGGCCGGGUUAAGCUUUAAUUGGAACUUCCUUAACCGUAUAAACAGUUUUCUCAAGACUUGUACAUGCUCUUUCUCUGUUCUAGAUUUUGCGAUCAUGUCAUCUACAUAUACUUCUAUCUCUUUAUGCAUCAUGUCAUGGAAUAAGGUUACUAUGGCUCUUUGAUAGGUUGCCCCUGCAUUCUUCAAUCCAAAGGGCAUUACCUUGUAACAGAAUGUGCCCCACAUGGUUACAAAGGUAGUCUUGUCCAUGUCUGCAGGAUGCAUUUUUAUCUGAUUGUAUCCCGAGAAACCGUCCAUAAAGGAGAAAAGUGAGUAACUUGCCGCGUUAUCUACUAAAGUGUCGAUAUGCGGCAAUGGAAAAUUAUCCUUAGGGCUAGCUUUGUUCAGAUCCCUAUAGUUUACACACAUUCGAACUUUCCCAUCUUUUUUAGGGACUGGGACUAUAUUAGCUGCCCAUUCUGAGUAUUUGACCACUUGUAGGAAUCCUGCGUCGAACUGCUUCUUAACCUCCUCUUUUAUUUUCAACAAAACAUCAGGCCUCAUUCUUCGUAGCUUCUGUUGAACCGAUCUACAUUCUUCUUUUGUGGGCAAUCGGUGCACUACUACAUCAGUAUUUAAUCCUGGCAUAUCUUGGUAAGACCAUGCGAAGACAUCCUUGAACUCUCGAAGCAACUCAACAAGAUCUUGCUUUAUCUCUGUGGCGAUACAAGCACCAAUUUUUACCUCUUUUCCUUCUCCUAAGCUUACAACCUCCACUAACUCUUUUUGAGGUAAGAUUUGUUUUUCUUCUCGCUCCACCAUUCUUAACAAAUCAGGAGAUAAGGUGCUGUCUUGGUCAUCUUCAAAAUCCUGAAGGUCAUCCGUAUUCAUAUCUUUUUCAAAUAGGGCAUAUGGGUCAGUAACAGCAUUGCUCACAUCAUUGAUAUCGGAAGACCUGUUAUUGGGAUGAGGGAAAGUCCAAGAAAAAAGAAUCUAAGAAUGAUUGUAUGCACAGUAUGAUUAUAAAUAGAAUGAAAAGAAUGAAAGAAUAUUUGCUCAGUGUGAGACUGAAUGAUAAGUUUUCAUUGAAGUAAGAUUUGGAAAUGUGCCUUUUACAAAGUGUUCUGAAAAUUACUCUGAAUUAGUUCUAAAUGUUACAGGGAUCUCUUCUGCAGUCCAAUUGUUCAGAACACUUCCAGGUUCGUAAGGGCGAAUACCCGAUAAAUUUCGUUCCACCCUUUCCUUUUCAGAUAUAGCAUUGAUGUCCAACCUUCCAGUUCUUCCUUUCGUAACUUUAUUCUUUCAUUCGGGGUAAACAAUUCCCCUUGACACAAAUGUCUUAGAUAUAUGGGGAAAGGUCAUCGGUCCCCACUUGGCUUCUAUCCCGCUCAAAUGUGCUCUUCUUUUCUCUCGCUUUUUCUCUAAUUCCUUCUUCCUUUCCCUUGCGUCAGGCUUAUACCCCAAACCACAACGGUCCUGUUUGUUAACCGAGAUCGGUACUUUGACCCGUCUCUAGAGGUAUUUUCUAAGUCUUCCUCCAAGUAACGCUCCCUUUCCCAUUGUUAGCUGUAAACUCAUUGACGUAGCUUUGGAUAUCUUGGGCUUUGAAAUUUUGCUCCCCUCCAUGACAAAUGUUGCAUUUACGAAUUCUAAUGAUCGGAAUAAACAUUCUAUUGUUUCACUAUCGACCUCUAUAUAUGGCAUGUCAUCGGUAACUGAUGCAAUGAUGUCUUCUUCUGCAUCUACAGUUACCAAUCGGCCCUCUAUUACUAAUUUCAACUUUUGGUGAAGUGACAAUGGUACAGCCCCGGCAGAAUGGAUCUAAGGCCUCCCCAAUAGGCAAUUGUAAGAUAGUUUAAUAUCCAUUACCAAAAAGUCCACCUCGUAUGUAUUUGGACAAAUCAAGAGAGGUAUUUCGAUUCUUCCCAUUACUUUUCUCCCAGUGCCAUCAAAUGCUCUCACAAUAUUUUGACAUGAUUUCAUGUGAGAACUGUCCACAGGUAGCCUGUUUAAUGUGGAUAGGGGUAAAACAUUCAGUGCUGAUCCAUUGUCAAUGAGUACCCCUGGUAGUGUACACCCUUUGCAACGGGCAGUGAUGUGCAAGGCCUUGGUAGAUCCCAUACCACCUGGCGGGAUCUCAUCAUCGUUGAAGAAGAUUAAGUUGUCGGCAUUUAUAUUAUUAACCAGGCGAUCCAACUUGUUCACUGUGAUAUCGUUAGCAACAUAAGUCUCAUUUAGCAUUUUUAUCGACGCAUUACGAUGUGUCUCCGAACUUAGAAGUAGCUCGAGCACUGAGAUACGAGCCGGUUGCUUAUGCAGUUGUUCCACCACACUGUACUCGCUAUGCUUCAAGAAUUUUAAGAAUUCUUUAGCCUCAUUUUUAGUCACCGGUUGUUAACUUGCAAUUCAAUUUUGGCCAUAUUUGUUUUAUCUUGUUCAACCGCUAAGGCUUUUCCUUUCAUAGGCUCCCUUUUUUUAUUUGAUGGGUCGUAGCGUUUUCCACUACGAGUAUGGAAGCCUACAUCACUACCCUCUUCUAAAGCGUUUACUGGGUUUUCCUCUCCCGGGAUUGUCACGUUGCAGUCAUAAUUCCAAGGAACCUUUUUGCAUCAUUAUAAGGAAAGGCUACAGGUUUUUGGAUUAUGACCCUUGGUGCCAGUUGUAUUCCAGAUCCUGUGCUUCUUGGCCUUGAAAUAAUCACCACCGGGUGAUUUUGGGCUUUUCUCGUAGGUCCCUCCUCCGAAGCGUAAACUUCUCCUUCUUCUAGUCCCUUGAUUUCUUCGUAAAAUUCUAGCUCUUUGUUGUUCAUCAAAUUUUGUACCAUGGUCUUAAAUUCUGUACAUUCCUGGAUAUUAUGACCCUUUUCGGCAUGGAACUCACAGUAGCUCAUCAUCCCUCCUGGUCUCCUCUCCAAAUUCUGAGUGAUUAAUCCCAUGCCUAUCAUUUGUUUCAAAACCCAUUUCAGUGGGGUUUUUAUUUCUGCAAUAUCUAUUUUGAUUCUCUUCCCUAUAUUUUCGCUUAUCAUGUUCACCCCAUUGUCAGCGUGGUUAGGCAAUGGAUUUUCCCCACUGGGUGAAUCAUCAAACUUGACAACACCCAUACCGAUCAGCUUUUCCACCAGCCUUUUGAAGGCUGUGCAAUUCUCUAUCGAAUGCCCCGUGAUUCCUGCAUGAUAGUCACAUUGCGCGUUCGUGUCAUACCAAUUGGGGUAUGGAGGUUGCAGAGGUUUCAAAUAGCAAGGAGAGACAACAUGCGUAUCAAACAGAUUUUGAUAUAACUCCCGGUACGGCAUUGGAAUUGGCGUAAACUGGGGCUUCUCGAUGUUUUGCCUUUUGCCAGAUUCAUGUCUUGACAGACUUUGCUGAUUAGUAGCUACAUUCCUUGGUUGAUUCACAGUGAUUGAUUUCGAGUAACCCUUGUUAUAAGUGCUCACGUUGUUUACCUCAUUCUCCCUUUUUUUCGGGGCUGAUCUUCGGUUACUUUCUCCAGACUCGAUCCUCCCACUCUUGAUGGCAUUUUCAAUCAUCUCUCCAUUCAUAACUAUAUCGGAGAAGCUCUUCGUGGCACUUCCUAACAUAUGUGUGAUGAAUGGUGCCUUCAAUGUGUUGAUGAAGAGCAUAGACAUCUCUUUCUCCAAGAGUGGUGGUAGGACUUGAACGGCAACUUCCCUCCAUUUUUGUGCAUAUUGCCUAAAACUUUCAUUAGGCUUCUUUUCAUAUUUUGGAGGGUAAUUCUAUCAGGGACCAUAUCGGCUACAUGGCUGUAUUGCUUUAUAAAUGGUUGUGCUAAGUCCCUCCAUGAUCUGAUUUUGGCACGACUCAAUUGAUUAUACCACCUAGAUGCUGCCCCUGCGAGGCUAUCUUGGAAGCAAUGUAUAAGCAAUUGGUCGUUGUUAAUGUACCCAGUCAUACGUCUGCAGAACAUGGUAAUAUGAGUUUCUGGGCAACUAGUCCCAUUGUAGUUCUCAAAUUCUGGCAUUUUAAAUUUGUGGGGAAGUACCAAAUCUGGGACUAAGCUCAAGUCUUUAGCGUCGAUCCCAUGAUAAUUCUCGCUACUUUCCAUGGCUUUGAAUUUCUCUUCGAGCCAUUUACACCUUUCCUCCAAUCGGCUCGGCAAUUCUUCCUUUGUUUUCUCUUUUCCCAUCAUUUCGUCAAAAUCUGGUACUAUGGGAUUGGUAGGGGCUUCUCCGAGAUGAGAACCUAUUCCAGUUUGGAAAUUUACUGGCAUUGAGGUGCCAGUCUGAAACUGCUGGGGCCUGAUAGUAAUAGAUGAUCUUCGUGGGUGCACCUCAGCUUGGGUUUGCGCAUGAGGAGGAGUAAAACCUGGGGGAUAGAGAGGGCUAUCAUUAUUUUCUUCUUCUGUAUUAACCACGGGGUCUUUUCCUUUGUCGUUUCCCCCUUUCAACAAUUGCAUCAAUUAAGCUAUCAUGCUUUUUUGAGACUCUAUCAUUUCGUUCAUCAUAUCUUGUUGAAUCUUCUCUAACCACUCUUGCAUUUGUUCAUGCAUCUCCUUUUGGAGUUGUUCGAGUCUUUCAAAUCUUUCGAAUCUUUGAUCCAUGGCUUUUAUCUUGCGGCGGGUACCGUAGUGAUAAACGGUUGGAUAAUUUUUGUUAGUUUCCAAGGUAAUUCUGUCAGAAUUUUAAAUUAAUUAGGCUUCCUUUUUUUUAAAACUUCAAUGCAUAUGAUGAUAUGUAGAUGCAUGGAUGCAAAAAGAGGCAUUGAUUCUAGUUCAAUUUCAUUAGAAAAAAACUCGACUAGAAAACAAAUUCCUUUACAUAAAAUGGAUAUAUAUACGGCUUUGCCUUUAUACUCAAAGCCUUAACCUUCCUAAGGAGCCAAGCUAAAUCUUGACCCCGGCUUGAUUCUGAUUCAUACUUUAAACUCAAUACAUCAGCCUGAACUGCUAAGGUUUGUAAAUGAUCAGCUACUUCCCGUACUUGAGUCACGGCUUCGCCCAUAAUGUAGUCCCUUUCUCUAAUUUGGUUUUGAGAAUGAUGGAAUUGCUCUCGCCACUGCUCAUUGCUCCUCUCAAGAAGCUCCACUCGUAGUUCAGACUUUUUCCAUGCCUCCUCAAGCUCUCCUAUCCUCUCAUUUAAUUCAUCAAUCUUCUUCAAACUCACCCUUAAUUCGAUCGCGGAGUUGCGACUACGAUACAGGUGAAGUGACUUUUCCAACUCCGCCACCCGAGCUUUUAAUUCCGCUUUCACACAUUGACAUUCUAAUAAGCUUUUCUCCAAAACGCUUUCUCGAGCUCGAGUAUCUUGGAAAUCCUUCUCCCACUUAUCAGCCUUGGUUCUUUCUUCUUUGAUCUCUUGUCGCCACUGCUCUGACGUUUUGCCCAAACCGGCAGUUCUUAUUGACAAUCGCAACUUCUUAUAAUCCGAUUUUAGAUUAUUCAAAUCCUUCUCAGCCUUGUUCUUUCCUUUUCUUAGUUUCUCAGCUUCUAGCUUGUGGAUAUCGACAUCUAGUCCCAAACGCAUCUUCUCCUCUUCUAGCUGUUCUAUCUUCUUUCCCCAUUCUGAACUCCUUUUUUCAAAGUCUUGUUUGAUGAUCUCCAAUUCUGACGGAACUACCUGCAGGUGCUUCUCUAGAGAUUGAACGCAAUCUUCUCUCGGCCCCGGGAUAUUGUCAUUGAUCCUUUUACCCCACCACCCGUAAUAUUCGGGAGUUGUCAUUGCCCCUACGGUAAAUCUUUUCAUCCGGUAAACUCGUUUCCAAGCGUUAGAUAUUUCUCGAAUUUUUCUCUUAUAGUAUCAUCCUUAUAAGAGAAUUCACAUUGCGCCAACCCAUGUGUUGCCGGUAUGAACUGUCUCGAUCUGUAUUGUCUUAAUACCAACAAAGGGGUAUAUCCGACAACUCCCUAAAUUCCAAGUAAAGGGACCCAGUCAAAGUCCCCACAUCGGUAUAAAAUCUCAUCGGGCACCAUCCAAGGAGCCUUCCACUCGACAUCAUCAUCUUGAAGAUUUUGGAGAAUCGCCAUCCAUUUUUCCUCCAUGAUAUCGUCUCGUCUUGGUGUAGCCACUAGUUCCUUUAAUGGGGAGUAAUUUUCUGAGAAGACCUGAUACGAGACUUUUUCCAUCUUCUAAAAGUGACUAUGGAACCUCACCAAUAGCAAUUGCGCGCAUCCAAUGAACCUUCCCUCGCCUGCUCUUCGACACGCGUUUAGGGACCUGAAGGUUUCAGCCAAAAUUGCUGGGACCGGUGUAACCCCUUUGUCAAGCCUAUCAAACAAAUCUGAAAUCGCCUCAUCCACAUGGCCUAGUGCUUUAGGGAAGACAACCAAACCAUAAACGCUCAAUGCAAAAAUAUCAACCCUUUUCUUUACAUCUGGAUGUGCCAGGAUUAAAUCUCGCAAGUUCCUCCAAGGUAUGCAUUUGCUAUCCCCCUUUUGCUUAAUCCGGGCUGUGACCCAUUGCUCGCUCAUUCCUGUGAUGCACAUUAGUUUCUUCAAGAAUGUCGGGACAUUAGCUGAUCUUGAAUAGACUUUGUCAACUUGGAUCCUUGGACACCGUAGCAAGGUCGUAUACUCCUCUAUCGUAGGUACCAAAUCUACUUUCCCAAACGUGAAACAAUUAUAGGCCGGAUUCCAGUACUGCGCAAGGGCUCGAAAUAAGCAUUUGUCUACUCUCACAUCAAGUAAAUAAGGUAAAUCCCCAUAGUUGCUGUAAAAGAGUUGCUUAAUCUUGUUAUCCCACUGAUUCCAUAUUUCCUUUAAUUCUUGCACACCAUCUUGAGUCAUACUAAUGCGAGUGAAAUCCCAUAAUUCCGAUGUGUAUCCUUCUGCGAGGCUAUCACCCUUUUCUUGCUGAACCUUUUCAGACCAAACUUGGACGACCGCAUUGUCUUCCACUUUACCAAGAAACUCUUUUUCCAUAUUGAGCUUUUCUAUUUAGAUAUCGAAUGUUAACCAACACCUCUUUAGAAAUGAAAUGUCAUGCAAUCAAAACAAAGCCAAAACAGAAUAAGUUAGUAUUGCACAUCAAGCUAAAUUUCAAAGCAUGAAAAAAUAAUAAUAAUAAAAUAAAUCGCAUAUUCAGGUAGCUACUAGGGCUUGGCAUAGUUCUUCCCAGGGUAAGCUCUCAAGGCUCGUUAUAUGGGGUUCGGUUCUAAAGUAAAGGUACUCGAACCAGCAGAUUCCUCGAUCCUCACCCAUUAUAGGCUCGUAUGGAACGAGUUCGGCUCAGGGGAAUACAUUUCCCUAUGGCUGCACGGAGAUGAAAAUCUCACGAAGACAUAGGUACGGAUGUAUCCCGAAAGUAAUUCACUAUCCUGCACGGAGGUGAAAACCUCACGAAGGACUAGCUUCUCACUCCCACUUAAAAGGUGUGACCAACGGUCAUGCAAUGCAAUGUGCAGAGAUAAAAAUUUAAAACACAAAACAUGAUGAAAAUUAUGAGUUCAAAACCAAUGAAAUGUAAUGAGAGGAUUGUAUAUUUAAACUAAAAUUUUCAACUUUCGACAAAAGACAAUAAUUAAUCAACACGUGGCUUGACUCUCUUAUUUUCUCUAUCCCCAGCGGAGUCACCAAGCUGUUGACACCAUUUUUUUGAUAAAAACGGGGUUGACUUGGGUUUUGAAAAAUGAAAACGAAACAGGAGUCGCCACCGAUGUUUUAAUGAGGUGAGAUCGGGACACCUCGAAUAGUGGUUGUUUUUAAUAAAUAAUUUGAUCUUAUUAAAACAACGAUUUUGGUCUACAAAAUUCAGAAAAAUAGGUUCGGGAGUCAGUUACGUACGAGGAAGGGUUAGCACCCUCGUAACGCCCAAAAAUUGGUACCUAAAUUGAUUAACUAAUGUCUUAAUGUCGAAGAUUGAAAAUUUUAAAGAGAUUUAGGGUACAAUCCUUAAAAAAACUUGAAUAACAUGGAUUGAAAAUUAAGAGGAUAUUUGGCUAUUUAGACGAACGAGAAAUCGAAAUCCAGCACGUUAGGAUUCGUUCUCCCGAAUUUCCAAAUACAAAACAUUGCCUUAUUUUAAAAUUUCGAAAGGAUAUUCGACUAUUUGGUUAAACGAGUAAUCGACACCCAACACGUUAGGGCACGUUUCCUCGAUUUUCCAAACGUAAAACAUUGCCUUAUUUUAAAAUUUCGAAAGGAUAUUCGACUAUUUGGUUAAACGAGUAAUCGACACCUAACACGUUAGGGCACGUUUCCUCGAUUCUCCAAACGUAAAAUAUUGCCUUAUUUUGAAAAUUUUAUUUUUUUAAAAAGGGGAUUAGUAUGCGUAACAAGAUGUUGAUGAAUACAAUGGCGUAGCAUAAAUAAUACGAGUAAUAGCAAUGAAAGGAAAUCGGAUAAAAAAUGGCAAAAAUGACAUAUAAAAUAACAAUACAUAUAAGCAAAUAAGAUCAGAACGUUCUCUCAAAAUAAUAAUGAAAAUGUAAAUAAAGAAAUGAACAAAGAAAAUGAAUAGAACUAUAGAAAUAUAAAAGACAUAUAUAUGUGUAUACGUAAAAUUAUGGAAGUUUGAAAAACGUAUAUAUAUAUGUAUAUACUUCAAAAUUAUUGUAGAAAAUAUAUAUAAACAUGUAGGUAAGCGUACGUACGUAUGUGCAUUAAAAUAUGUAUAAAAUUAUAGAAAGUAUAUAAAGUAUGUGUAUAUAUAUAUAGAAUAUAUACAUAGGUAUAUAAAUGGGCUUUAAAAAAGGGCAUUAUAAAAUAAGAUUGCACACAAAUAUAUAUAUAUAUAUUAUACUAGAUUAGCGUAGAAAAUAUACCAAGUUAUACAUAAUGAAAUUAAAUAUCAAUAUAUAAUAACAAUAUAAAAAGACUUGAUGUAAUAAUGUACAAUAAACUCAUCAUACUAAUAAUAAUACGUUACAAAAAGGAAAAUAAUGAGAUUAAAUGCCAACAUAUGAUAAUAGCUUAAAAUAACAGUAUAUACAUAUAAAUAUUAAUGAAAAUAUGAACAAAUAUAAUAAUCUAUAAUAAUAAGAGUAAUAAUAAUUAAUAGUAAGCCAAAGAAAAACGAAAGGGAUUAAAUCGAAGCUAAAACCGAAUUACAAGGGAACAAACAUAAAUAAAACCAAACAAGGACCCAUGUGCAAUGCGCGAACAACGUGGAGGGUUAAUUAGAAAUAUUUCCCACUCUCUCUAAACGCAGCGUAGCAUGGGGACCAAGAUGAAAUCCGUAGGAAAAUAAGUGGUCCAGUUUAAAGAAACAACGGAAACUAGAUUGAACCAAGGCACAAAAGUGGAGGACCUGGCGCGCAAAUAACCCUCCCUAUGUCAAAACGCGCGGAUCUAGCCGCGGUUGGAUCGGGUCACUGGGUUAAAGGCCUCAUACGACGCCGUUUUAGAGUCACCUUUAAAUACUUAAAAAAAAAGAAAAACUAAAACCUAACAUUUUAAUUCCUAAAAGAGACAGAUCUCCCUCACCCUCAGCCGCCUCACAUUCGAUGCUCCUCUUUGGCUCCGACGAAGACCGACAGAAGAGGUUCCGACGGUGCGCCUUGGUGAGGCUUCUUUUAUCCCUUUCUUUUUUAAAAAAAAAAGGUAACAAAACCAAUUUAGGUACUUAAAAAAAACCGAAAUGGGAAAGAAAAAGAAAUGGCCUUUCGGCCUUUGUCCCCGAUUGCAACACGAACGAACCCUCGAAGGGCUUUCGUGACCUUGACGAACGGAGGGGACCUCCGUCGACGGCGCACGACCCAACCCCCAGGUACGUUUUAACCCCUUUUCCUCCUUAUACUUAUAAUAAUAUUCAAAAAAGAAAAAAUAAAAAAUAAAAACAGGAGUAGAAACUUGAAGAUAAAAGAGAUUAUCAACCUUUUUUGAUUGACUUUUGCUCUCCUUUUCUAUUCGAUUGAUCUUUUUUUUUUUUAGAAACUUGAAGAUAAAAGAGAUUAUCAACCUUUUUUGAUUGACUUUUGCUCUCCUUUUCUAUUCGAUUGAUCUUCUUCUUUUUUACAAGGUUAUUUUAGUGGCUUUUAUAGCCACGAUUACACUGUUGGUCCAUGUUACUGUUCGCUAUUUUCUUUUCUAUGUUUUGCUUUUGUUUCUGUCUUCUCGUUGCCGUUUCUGUGCUGCUUCUUUUGGUCUUUUUUGUAGGUGUCGGGGGUCAAUGGAGAGGAUUGCUAUUUUGGUGUCAAUGGAGGCUGGGCAGGCCUCGGGACGAGGCGUGGACGUUGCGCUCGAGGAGGAGCGACGCAAAGGAAAGGGAACCCUAGGGUUCCCUGUGCUUGCCUAGUCUUUAGGCCCCCUUGGGCCGUUUAGAAUCCGGGCCGUUUUGGGCCUGUUGUACAUGGGUCAUUUAAUUUUAUUAUUUUGGUUUUGUUUCGGGCCUGGGCUAUUAAGUUUGAUAUGAGAGGGAAGAUAAACGUUGAUAAAAAUUUCUGGUAAAUGAGAAAUUUUUGUUAAGUUUGUAAGAAAUCUAGCAAAAGUAGAAUUUUUUUUUAGUUUAAACCAUAUAUAUUGAAAUUUUUUACACUUAUAUAUUUUUAAUUUUAAUUUUUUAUAAUUUAUAUAUUUUUAAAUUUUUAAGAUCUAAAAAAAAUUUGAAAUAAUAUGUAAAUAAUGAUUGUUAAUUCUUUUAGAAUAAGGAUCAAAUUCACAUAAUAAUAAAUUUAGCCUUUAAC